rnacentral:rRNA from 1 species
ACGGUACCUGCAGAAUAAGCACCGGCUAACUCUGUGCCAGCAGCCGCGGUAAUACAGAGGGUGCAAGCGUUAUUCGGAAUUACUGGGCGUAAAGAGCGCGUAGGCUGUUUGAUAAGUCUGAUGUGAAAGCCCUGGACUCAAUCCAGGAAGUGCAUCGGAUACUGUCAGACUAGAGUAUAGGAGAGGACAACGGAAUUCCUGGUGUAGAGGUGAAAUUCGUAGAUAUCAGGAGGAACAACAGUGGCGAAGGCGGUUGUCUGGACUAUAACUGACGCUGAGGCGCGAAAGUGUGGGGAGCAAACAGGAUUAGAUACCCUGGUAGUCCACACCGUAAACGAUGGAUACUAGAUGUCGGGGGUUCUUGUCCCCUCGGUAUCGUAGCUAACGUGUUAAGUAUCCCGCCUGGGAAGUACGGCCGCAAGGUUAAAACUCAAAGAAAUUGACGGGGGCCCGCACAAGCGGUGGAGUAUGUGGUUUAAUUCGAAGCAACGCGCAGAACCUUACCUAGGCUUGACAUCCGACGCUACCCUAUGAAAGUAGGGGUUCCCUUCGG